AGAACGAACGCUGGCGGCAUGCCUAAUACAUGCAAGUCGAACGAACUCUUCGGAGUUAGUGGCGCACGGGUGCGUAACGCGUGGGAAUCUGCCCUUGGGUUCGGAAUAACAGUUGGAAACGACUGCUAAUACCGGAUGAUGACGAAAGUCCAAAGAUUUAUCGCCCAGGGAUGAGCCCGCGUAGGAUUAGCUAGUUGGUGAGGUAAAGGCUCACCGAAGGCGACGAUCCUUAGCUGGUCUGAGAGGAUGAUCAGCCACACGUGGGACUGAGACACGGCCCAGACUCCGUACGGGAGCAGCAGUAGGGAAUAGUGGAACAAGUGGGACGAAAGCCUAGAUCCAGCAAUCGCCGCGGUGAGUGGUAGAACGGCCGUUUAGGUAGUAAACGUCCUUCCGUUUUAACCGGAGUAAUACGAAUUAAUCGAAG
rnacentral:rRNA from 1 species